CAGCAAUUGAAGAAUGCUGUAAUUGGUUUCAUAAAAGAAUGGAGGAAUUAAAUUCAGAGAAGCAUCGACUCAUUAACUAUCAUCAGGAACAGGCAGUUAAUUGCCUUUUGGGAAAUGUGUUUUAUGAACGACUGGCUGGCCAUGGUCCAAAACUAGGACCUGUCACUAGAAAGCAUCCUUUAGUUACCAGGUAUUUUACUUUCCCAUUUGAAGAGAUAGACUUCUCCAUGGAAGAAUCUAUGAUUCAUCUGCCAAAUAAAGCUUGUUUUCUGAUGGCACACAAUGGAUGGGUAAUGGGAGAUGAUCCUCUUCGAAACUUUGCUGAACCGGGUUCAGAAGUUUACCUAAGGAGAGAACUUAUUUGCUGGGGAGACAGUGUUAAAUUACGCUAUGGGAAUAAACCAGAGGACUGUCCUUAUCUCUGGGCACACAUG
rnacentral:lncRNA from 1 species